rnacentral:rRNA from 1 species
UACGUAGGGUGCGCGCGUUAAUCGGAAUUACUGGGCGUAAAGCGUGCGCAGGCUGCUUCGCAAGUCAGGCGUGCAAUCCCCGGGCUUAACCUGGGAAUGGCGUCUGAAACUACGGAGCUAGAGUGUGGCAGAGGGAGGUUGAAUUCCACGUGCAGCGGUGAAAUGCGUAGAUAUGUGGAGGAAUACCGAUGGCGAAGGCAGCCUCCUGGGCCAACACUGACGCUCAUGCGCGAAAGCGUGGGGAGCAAACAGG